rnacentral:lncRNA from 1 species
UGAGAUAGCUAUGCGGCAUUCAAGUGGAGAUGUCCAGUUCAGGUCUGAGAUUGAGCUGGGGAGUUCAUUCAUUUGUUGAAUGCCUACUAUGUGCCAAAUGCCAUAUCAGUGCUGCAAGUGCAGCAGCAAACAAAACAGAUGCAGUCCUUAUGCCAUGCGAGGCUUACAUCCUUAGAAGGGGACACCGAUAUUUAACAGUUAUUUAGCUGCAAAGUGAUAAUUGUUAUGAAGAGAGCUGUAAAGCAUAUAUCCUGGUGACCUAAGUUUAUAUGUGCAUAUUGAUUUGGUAGGGCGGAGGGUGGUACUUGGUCAUUAGUCUUCUCUGAAAAAGUGACCUGGAAAUUCUAAGAAUGGAAAGAUGAGUAAGAGUUGGCCAGGUGUCAGGGGUGGGAUAGGCUGGGACUGGAAGAACAAGACAUCCCAAAGCCUCAUCAGUAUUGAGCCAGAACCUGAGCUGCUCAAACUGGAGGGGCAUUACCUCACCGCUAAACUGUACCUUUUAGUGCCCCCUCACUUCUACUAUUUAGCUCGUGGAGCUCAUGGUAUCUCCCUUCUCAUACUGAUGAGUGCUGUCCUGCCACAGGGGACCACUGCAGAACCCAAGAGCUGUGCUGGUCAGCCAGAGAAGAGCUUAGUAGAAGGUCCACAUUAGAAGAAAGUGAUGCCUGUUGGUGGGACCAGUUUAAACAGCCCUGCAGGACUAAGAGAUGGAGUUGGGGUGGGGCCGGGGCGGGGAGACCAGUCCAUUAAGGAAGGCACAGAUUUGAAUCCAAGAGCAAGGCCAAUGCCCAGAACUUGAGUUCUCCAAGGCUGCUCCUGGCUCUCGUUCAUCUUGUGUCCCCAGAGCCUAUAACAAAGCAGAGUGUAUGAGACUUAUGUAGUGAGUAAUGUUUUGACUAUGAAGGAAAAGCCAGAAAGCUUAGCUAAAGUGGGAAGGAGGAUUAAAGGAGGUGCUUUUGGGAUGGGGAGACCUGAGCAUAUUGGGCAGCUAAAUUAGAGGAGGUUGGAGAAGGGAGAGGUUGAAAGGUUCACUCUGUGUAGGAGGAAGGUUUCCUUGUCAGCCCCAUAGCCUGAAUGGACUAAUUCUUGUAUACUUUCUCCUCUCUCACCUACCCCAUUCCAGUCUGCUACUAAGUCUCAUGAGCCUACCUCCUACAUAUGUCUUGAGUCCAUCUGCGUCCCUCCAGCCAAUUUCCUUGGUCCAAGCCAUCAUCAUUUCUCAACUGGAAUACUGCAACAGCCUCUGACUGGGCAGCUAGCUUGUAGUCUUGACUUCUCCCUACAGCCAGAAUGUUCUUUCUUAAAAGCAAAAUUGAUCUUGUCACUGCUAUGCCUAGAAAUGUUAAGAAACUCCUCAUUACACCCAGGAUAAAACAUAAUUCCUUCUUUUGUUCACCUGGGUGCUCCCUGCAGUCCAGCCACACUGGACAAGUCCUCAAGUGGUGCCCAUACUGGACUUUGUGCCUUUUACAAUCUGUUCACUCUGCUUGAAUGCCUUUCCUCUUCCUUUCCUGGCCGAAUUUGGUUUAUGUGGCAUCCUCAUUAGGCUAUUUGUUCAGACAUCUUCUUCUCUUGGAGCCUUUUCUCACCAUUCCCCUUCAUCCCUUCAUGUUCUCACAAUCCCAUUCAUAUCUCUGUUGCAUUGCCCCAGACCUGCUGCCAUGUUUGAUUUUGUCAGUAAGUGCUUGUUGAAUGACUGAAUAAAUGGUGGUGGGGGGGUCUCCUCCCUCAGGAUCCUACUCCCUUCUGUCUGUGCCCACAGUGUCUCCCCUCCUACCUGCUCCCUCCCCUUGCUCCUCUGCUCCAGGUUUUCUCCAAUGAGGGCCAGUUCAAGUUCCGUUUUGGGGUCCGAGGACGCUCACCUGGGCAGCUGCAGCGCCCCACAGGUGUGGCAGUGGACACCAAUGGAGACAUAAUUGUGGCAGACUAUGACAACCGUUGGGUCAGCAUCUUCUCCCCUGAGGGCAAGUUCAAGACCAAGAUUGGAGCUGGCCGCCUCAUGGGCCCCAAGGGAGUGGCCGUAGACCGGAAUGGACAUAUCAUUGUGGUCGACAACAAGUCUUGCUGCGUCUUUACCUUCCAGCCCAAUGGCAAACUGGUUGGCCGUUUUGGGGGCCGUGGGGCCACUGACCGCCACUUUGCAGGUAUAGGGGGACAGCUCCAAGAUCUAUGCUGAUACCCCUGUUCCAGAGAACUCCCCUAGAUACCCCAGCUGUAAAGGCCCUCUCCUCCUAUAUCUUGGCUCUGGAGAUCCCACUUCCCUUACGUUAGCCCUAUCAUCUCAGAAAUAAUUUGUCUCAGUCCUGGAGACCCCACCCCUCUCCUAACACCCUAGCUUUUAUCUUCCCAGAUACUCUUCCCCAUCCCACUCAGCAUCCCAGCUUACUGCCCUGAAGACCACUUUGUAUUUUCAGGGCCCCAUUUUGUGGCUGUGAACAACAAGAAUGAAAUUGUAGUAACGGACUUCCAUAACCAUUCAGUGAAGGUCAGUGUCUUCCCUCCCUCCGUGACCACUGUCCCAACAUCCUUUCCUCUUCCACAAGACUCCUCUCUAUUUUACCUCCUCCUUUUCCCCUUUGAGAUCAUUCACUCAAACAAUACACAUUUACACAUUUAUGCAUGGCUGCUUUGUCCCAGGCAGUAUGCUAGAAGCUGGAGAUACAGUGAUGCACAAAGCAAAUGUAUUCUGUGUCUUCUUGAUUAUAGUCUAGUAGGGAAGAGAAAAAGGUAACCAAAAAAUUACAAUAUGAUGUAAUAGAUUCUGUGAUAGGAAGGUGCAGGGAACUGUGGGAAGGGAUACAGAAGUGUAUGAUUCAGGAAAGACUAUAUGAGGAGGACCUCAAGCACAAGUGGGAAUUAAAUGGAAGGCAGAGGAGGACGAGAGUGUUUGAGACAAAAGACACAGGAAGAGCCAAGAAUGCAAGGUGGGAACCUUAAUAGUGUGUUCGAGAAAUCACAAGUAGUUCAGACUCAGCUUGAGGAGGGGACCGUGAAAGCUGAGAGUGAGGCUUGUGUGCCCCCUUAAGGGGCUUGCUCUCCUCCCAAGAGCUAUGGGGAGUCACAGGAUUGCAGGCAGGGGAGUGAUGCAGUCCUGUGUGUCUUAGAUCACUCAGGCUGAGGCAAGACUGAGACAGGAAGAUCAAUCUUUUGCAGUGAUCCAGAUGAGAAAUGAUGUGAGCCUGGACCGUGAGAAAGACGAGACAGUGUAUGCAUAGGGUAUAGACUUGAGAGAGGGAUUUGAGAUGGAAUCAAGAGUUGUGUUAAUUCAUUGGCCUAUCAAACAGAGAAGAAAUUGGAGUCAAGAGUGACUCAUGGCCAGCUGGGUGGCACCAGUCAUUGAGAUAGAGAACUAAGAGAACUGAUUUCCCAAAGAAAAUGAGCUGUUAGAUUUGAUAUUCCCAAUGGACAUCAGCAAGAGAUGUCUACUAGGCAGUAGGGCACAUGGAUGUGAAGCCUAUGAAGCAGAUUUGGGCUGUAGCUGUAGAUCUGGGUGGGGGUUCUCAGCCCUGGGGCUUCACCCUAUCCUCCUCCAAAGCCCUACCCUCUGCCUGAGGCCAGGUCCCCAGUCCCUAGCCCCUUCCCCCGCCAGGUGUACAGUGCCGAUGGAGAGUUCCUCUUCAAGUUUGGCUCCCAUGGCGAGGGCAAUGGGCAGUUCAAUGCCCCCACAGGAGUAGCUGUGGACUCCAAUGGAAACAUCAUUGUGGCUGACUGGGGCAACAGCCGCAUCCAGGUGAGUAAGGCCUGGGAAUGACAUGAGGGGGCGGUUUCCUGGUGUGUCCCAUAUGCCCGUUCCCCCAAAACAGACUCUCAUCUGCCUGAUCUUGCCUCUCCCUCCUUUCUGCACUCCUUCCCCAGGUAUUCGACAGCUCUGGCUCCUUCCUGUCCUAUAUCAACACAUCUGCAGAACCACUGUAUGGUCCACAGGGCCUGGCACUGACCUCGGAUGGCCAUGUGGUGGUGGCUGAUGCUGGCAACCACUGCUUUAAAGCCUAUCGCUACCUCCAGUAGCUGUACAGAGGCCCUGCCUGGCUUGUGGAGGGACAGACAUUGGGGUGAUUGGACAAGAGGGUCUGGCUGGGAGGUGGGCCAGACCUGGCAGCACUGAAUGUGGGCUGUGGGCAUGGGUGCACCCGGUGCCCUCCCUCUCCUACCCCCACCCCCACGGUUGCACUUUAUUUAUUCGGUUCUUGCUUUGGUGACUGGGUGAGCCUGGACUGUGGUCCCAAGGAUGUGUGCAGAGCUUCACCCUACCCUUCUUACACACCUCCCCACCCCUGUCAGUCUGCUCCCCAUCCCCCAGCCUGGGGCCAGAACAGCCUACCCCAGGACAGGAGUCCCUCUAGUUGUCUCCCUACCACCCUAUACACACUGACAGAGACAGCAAUACCCCACCCCCCAUAUUAAAUAAAUGUCUUCACC